UACAGAGGUCUCAAGCGUUGUUCGGAUUCAUUGGGCGUAAAGGGUGCGUAGGCGGCGCGGUAAGUCGGGUGUGAAAUCUCGGAGCUUAACUCCGAAACUGCAUUCGAUACUGCCGUGCUUGAGGACUGGAGAGGAGACUGGAAUUUACGGUGUAGCGGUGAAAUGCGUAGAUAAUCGUAAGGAAGACCAGUGGCGAAGGCGGGUCUCUGGACAGUUCCUGACGCUGAGGCACGAAGGGUCAGGGGAGCAAACGGG
rnacentral:rRNA from 1 species